UGCGCAGGCGGAUUAAUAAGUCGGGGGUUAAAUCCAUGUGCUUAACACAUGCACGGCUUCCGAUACUGUUGAUCUAGAGUCUCGAAGAGGAAGGUGGAAUUUCCGGUGUAACGGUGGAAUGUGUAGAUAUCGGAAAGAACACCAGUGGCGAAGGCAGCCUUCUGGUUGAGUACUGACGCUCAUGCACGAAAGCGUGGGGAGCAAACAG
rnacentral:rRNA from 1 species